rnacentral:lncRNA from 1 species
UCGUUUUCCCAGAGAAGAGGACCCAUCCCCUCACUGGUUAUCUUCUUCACUCAAUCUCCACCAAGCAGCUUCACACCUUCAUCUCCACCCCACAUACGCUAUCAAACCAGCCUCAUUUUUCCAUUCGAAAAGGGCUGCUGAAACAGCUUCUCGAACCCAGCAGAAAACCAUCCAAAAUUAGCUCUGAACCAUCCUAAAAAGUAGUCCGUUUUCAGCAAUGGAAAGCUGAAACUUCAUCUAUGAAAAAGCAGCCACUAAAAUCGCUGGAACACCCAUUAAAAAGCAGCCGCUGUUUUAAGCUUCGAAUUUUUUCGGUAGGCUUCGAUCUCACCGUUGCGGAGCCCGUUCACGAUUCGGUUCGUGUUUUUGUUCGAAGUUCGAUUGUCAUGUCGAGUAUCAGCCAUAGCGGUCUCUUUGUUUCAGUCCGUAGCUGAAUUUUUUUAUUUAAUUGAAAGCAACCUCAGGUUCUAUUCUUGCCUCUUUCCUUCUAUUCUAAUGUCAGUUCUAAUAUGGUUUGAGCUUAGACUAUAAUUUUGCUGGAUUUGUGAUGGGAAAUUGGUUUGAAGGAAUUUUUAUUUCUCUGUUGUUCGUGUCAAAAAGUUGUGUCAAGUCCAAAGCAUUUAACCGUGUAUAUAUAAGUUUCUUCUUAAAAUGCGUUUUUGCUUAUUUAAGAUCCCAAACAAAAUGACAACUUUAGUCCAAUAAAAAGAGCAUGUCCAAUAAGGUGCAUACCAUUUCCCUGUUUCCGAUACUAAUCUACUCGAAUAGCAUUAGGUAUGUGUGUGUAGUAUGUGUAUGUUACCUAAAGAUAAUAACUGGACCUAAUUUUUUUACUUUUUUAGUUUUUAUACCCUUGGGUAGAGAUUUUACUUUUUUAGUUUUUAUACCAUUAUGUAGAGAGGCUGUUUCCAAAUAGACCCCCGACAUCCUUCUCUCCAAGAACUUUCCACCUUGCUCUUGGGAUACUCGAACUCACAACCUCUCGGGUGGAAGUAGGAAUUGCUUACCAUAAGAGCAACUACUCUUGUCCUUGGUGGUGCUUUUUAAAUAAUUGGUAUAUUUGAUUGCCUUCAUAUCAUGGGCUUCAUGUUCUAGCAGAUAGAAAGGGACAUACAUUUAUUCUCUGGUCAUGGAGAGUGAAUUAUAUAUCUUGAAAGACCAAUUGUUAAUGAGUGAUGUACAGUUUAAAAUAGACUUGGUUGUAAUUCCAUAGCUCCUCUUCGUAAAUCUGAUCUUCGUCGUGUUCUCUGCUAACUGCCAAAUAGUUCUAACUUUUAUCAUGUUAAACAUGAGGUAUUUAAUGAACUUGUCUUGUUUCUUUGAAAAGAAUGUCUCACUCCAAGUGAGCCUCUGGCCCUUAUUUAAUUAAUAUUAAUCAUUUAGAAUUCAAGGCGUGCCAUUUAGUUUAAUUUUCAUGAAGCUCGCAAAGUUAAAAAUAUAUAAUUGUUUUAGGCGCGUAAUUUAAAGUUAUAUUUCUAAACUCGGGUGUAUAUUUAUGUGACCCAAUUUCAAUUCUCAACAAUAUUAGAUAAAAUGUAUCGAGGAUCGUGGGUGCAUUUAUGAGACGCGAUUCAAGAUAUAUUUUAGAUAACGUUGCAAUUUUCCUUUUUAAAGAAAAUAAUUAAAUAAAGUGGUAAAGUUUAUAAUUGCACCAUAGGCUAAAACAUGUAUAAAAAUCCAAUAAUAGGCGAAUUCUAAUAGUUUAAGCGACUGUGCUAGAACCACGGAAUCCGAGGGUGCCUAACACCUUUCCUCGGGUUAACAGAAUUCCUUAUUCAGAAUUUCUGGUUCGCAGACUUCAAAAGGAAAGUCGAAAUCUUCUUCGAUUUGGGAUUUAAAAAUAAAUCGGUGACUUGGG